AAUUCAAGAGAAAUUGUUGGAUUUUUAGAAAUUAAGCAAGUAAAGGUGGUGAGCCCUCUGGUAAAGGUAAGGAUAUCAUACCCGAGGAUCAAGAAUAAAAGUACUCCAUACUCCCGUUAUUCUCAAGGCAGUCUGUAGACCGCCGAUUUUGUCGAGGGUUUGCUGUUGGAUUCGUACCCUUAGAAAUUACAGGUUUAUAAUCGUGUUUAUUUUGGUUAUUUUGGGGGCCCACAUGUCAUUAUAGAAUAUUUUGUAUACCUGGCUGUGUG